rnacentral:rRNA from 1 species
CUACGGGUCGCUCCAGUGAGGAAUCUUCCACAAUGGGCGAAAGCCUGAUGGAGCGACACCGCGUGAAGGAUGAAGGUCUAACGAUUGUAAACUUCUUUUCUGAGGGAGCAUAAUGAGAGUACCUCAGGAAUAAGGGACGGCUAAAUACGUGCCAGCAGCCGCGGUAAUACGUAUGUCCCAAGCAUUACCCGGAAUCACUGGUGUAAAGGGUUCGUAGGCGGUUAAAUAAGUUGGAUAUGAAAGACCGAGGCUCAACCUCGUGUUUGUAUUCAAAACUGUUUAACUAGAAUCAGGGAGAGGUAAGCGGAAUUCUGAGUGUAGGGGUGCAAUCCGUAGAUACUCAGAGGAACACCAAAAGCGAAGGCAGCUUACUGGAACUGUAUUGACGCUCUGGAACGAAAGCGUGGGUAGCGAAAAGGAUUAGAUACCCCGGUAGUC